rnacentral:rRNA from 1 species
CACGUAGGGGGCAAGCGUUGUCCGGAUUUAUUGGGCGUAAAGAGCUCGUAGGUGGUUCGGUAAGUCGGGUGUUAAACCCCCAGGCUCAACCUGGGGACGCCACUCGAUACUGCUGUGACUUGAGUCCGGUAGGGGAGCGUGGAAUUCCUGGUGUAGCGGUGAAAUGCGCAGAUAUCAGGAGGAACACCAGCGGCGAAGGCGGCGUCUCGUCGG